GGGCUCCAGGGACUCCGCCCCCUACGGGUCACGUGUCCUGCCGGCCGUCUCCCUGGCAGAGGUCCCGGCGCUCCAAAACGCCUCAGGCCACUCAAGAUCCCGUCCCUCUAAAGAGCAAACAGCCUUAUCUGGCCCAGGAGAGCAAUGUCCAGAGGUCAGAGAGGACCGCUGCCACGAAAGAUCAAGGGACUGCCUGGCAAGGAAAUCUGUGAUGAUUCUAAAUUAACCCCGGGUCUGAAUCCUUUAAAGAUGCCACUGUACCCAGACAGCAGGAAGUAAAUUCAAGAAUACAACAAGAAUUCCCAAGAGUGAGACAUGUCUGCUCAUGGCAUCACCAAUCUACUUCAGAGAAAAUGAUGGGUAUCUUCUUAUUAAGACCUAUUAGAACUUGCUACACACGAACUUGGACAAUACAAUUAUCCAGUCAACUAAUCCAAUCUGAACUGUUGUCAUCACUAUGCUGCUCCAUUCCUACACACUGAAAGAGUCAAAAUACUAAUUUCUUGGGGAACUCACCCUCAUUCUCACUACUGCUAGAACGGACCUCAGGAGAUGAUUCAGAUUGUGAUGAUGAAAAUUCUUCUUUCCAUUUCUUCCGUUUCUUUGGUGGUGGCUCAGCCUUCAUUUUGAGCUGUUUAACUUUGGGUUUUGUAGAAGGGGCUUUUGUAGUUGGAGUUUUUGAUACUGGUGGAUCAGAAGUUUUACUGCUACUACUUGGCUUAGAUGGAACAUUUCUGCAAUGUUAAAACAAGUUUCAUUAACAUCAUUAAAU